UAAGAGACGCCACGAGCAGCUCAGAGACGUAGAGGCAAUGGACAGUAGAGUUUGCUUGUUACUCAUACUGCUUCUCUUGUUGGGGUUUUUUCCUCGCUACCAAGCUCCAACCAUACAUGGCUAUACCUGCAGUAAGUAAAACACUUUUGCUCGAUCAUAUUGGACAACUAUCAUCUGUCUAUCCCUUCAGCCCAAAAUGUUCUACCACGUAUAUACCUCCGUACGUACGUUCUAUGGUAUUAUUGCAACCUUUCUAGAUUAAAUUUAUACGAAAAGGUUGCUAUAUUUUAAACAUAAUCUCACAAAUGAUAACAGUUUGCUUUUGUAUGUAUGCAGACAAGAUAGGCGAAAGAACCAGCAGUUCUGCUUGUUCUCCGCCCUCGCCUCCCCGACCAAUAUGUUCAUACCCCGUAGCGUGUCCGCGUCGCGCACCUUACAAUUAAUUUUCGACAAGCAUCUGAAGCCCAAGAUUUCGGAGGCAUGUAUGAAGAACAGCGCCUGAAGUUUCUCUGAUGCAUAAAAAGAAAAAAAAUGAAUUAAGUGUAUUGUCCUUACUUAGAUGGCUAAUUGUUCACUAUUUGCUUUGAUAGAUGGAUUCGAUAUAUAUAUAUAUAUAUGGGGGUUGACUCUGUUAUAUUUUACUGAUAUUAUAAUUUAAU
rnacentral:lncRNA from 1 species